UCCCGUUUAGCUCAGUUGGUAGAGCGCGUCACUAGUAACCGGCUUAUGGCCCGCUUACCCAAUGACGAGGUCAGUCGUUCAAGUCGGCUAAUGGGAA